AUUGAACGCUGGCGGCAGGCCUAACACAUGCAAGUCGAGCGGCAGCACGGGUACUUGUACCUGGUGGCGAGCGGCGGACGGGUGAGUAAUGCCUAGGAAUCUGCCUAGUAGUGGGGGAUAACGUCCGGAAACGGGCGCUAAUACCGCAUACGUCCUACGGGAGAAAGUGGGGGAUCUUCGGACCUCACGCUAUUAGAUGAGCCUAGGUCGGAUUAGCUAGUUGGUGAGGUAAUGGCUCACCAAGGCGACGAUCCGUAACUGGUCUGAGAGGAUGAUCAGUCACACUGGAACUGAGACACGGUCCAGACUCCUACGGGAGGCAGCAGUGGGGAAUAUUGGACAAUGGGCGAAUGCCUGAUCCAGCCAUGCCGCGUGUGUGAAGAAGGUCUUCGGAUUGUAAAGCACUUUAAGUUGGGAGGAAGGGCAGUUACCUAAUACGUGAUUGUUUUGACGUUACCGACAGAAUAAGCACCGGCUAACUCUGUGCCAGCAGCCGCGGUAAUACAGAGGGUGCAAGCGUUAAUCGGAAUUACUGGGCGUAAAGCGCGCGUAGGUGGUUUGUUAAGUUGGAUGUGAAAGCCCCGGGCUCAACCUGGGAACUGCAUCCAAAACUGGCAAGCUAGAGUAUGGUAGAGGGUGAUGGAA
rnacentral:rRNA from 1 species